rnacentral:rRNA from 1 species
GACAGAGGGUGCAACCGUUGUUCGGAAUUACUGGGCGUAAAGGGCUCGUAGGCGGCCAACUAAGUCAGACGUGAAAUCCCCAGGCUCAACCUGGGAACUGCGUCUGAUACUGGAUGGCUUGAGUUUGGGAGAGGGACGCGGAAUUCCAGGUGUAGCGGUGAAAUGCAUAGAUAUCUGGAGGAACACCGGUGGCGAAGGCGGCGUCCUGGACCAACACUGACACUGAGGAGCGAAAGCCAGGGGAGCAAACGGG